rnacentral:rRNA from 1 species
UAGGGAAUCUUCCACAAUGGACGAAAGUCUGAUGGAGCAACGCCGCGUGAGUGAAGAAGGUUUUCGGAUCGUAAAGCUCUGUUGUUGGUGAAGAAGGAUAGAGGCAGUAACUGGUCUUUAUUUGACGGUAAUCAACCAGAAAGUCACGGCUAACUACGUGCCAGCAGCCGCGGUAAUACGUAGGUGGCAAGCGUUGUCCGGAUUUAUUGGGCGUAAAGCGAGCGCAGGCGGAAUGAUAAGUCUGAUGUGAAAGCCCACGGCUCAACCGUGGAACUGCAUCGGAAACUGUCAUUCUUGAGUGCAGAAGAGGAGAGUGGAACUCCAUGUGUAGCGGUGGAAUGCGUAGAUAUAUGGAAGAACACCAGUGGCGAAGGCGGCUCUCUGGUCUGCAACUGACGCUGAGGCUCGAAAGCAUGGGUAGCGAACAGGAUUAGAUACCCUGGUAGUCCAUGCCGUAAA